GUGUUUUAUUUCAGCUAGAAUGUUAGCACACCCCUUGAUAAGGAUGGAAGAGGCCAAUGGAGCCUGCACAACACACAUAUGGUUAAGGUGCUGCCACUUAUCUUGUGGCAUCUAACCAUUUUUUUUG